UGGCUGCAUUACUUAUAGUUACAAAUUUAUUGAGUUGGGGGCUCUGAUGUGUCAGGCUCCUGUCUCUGUGAAUGUGACUCACUGUCCUAUCCCUUGUAGAGUUUCCUACUGGGGCUCCACUGGGCCACAAGAGCAAGCCUCAUUCAACCAAAACAGGCUGCCAUUCACGACCCCACAAUUAUCCCAAGAUUUGAGGAUUCAAAGGUCUUCUGAUAUAGUCUUUAAUUAAGGCCUCGGUCCUCCUCGAUCCACGGAAUAACUAAGUCCUGCUGGAUGGGACAGUAAAACCUCAGGUUCAGAGCCUGGUAAGCUAAGGAAGAACAAGUUGCCUGCAAUCCUGACACAGCAGAGCUGACCAAGCCUGUUGAAUUGGACAGGGUGGCAAAACCUGAGUGAAAGGGGAGAGCAUCAGAUCGCUCAUUGAAAUUAAAGAUCACUGAUACACGAGUACUCAACAGGACCCAUGGAAGAUUUGGAAGUAUAGUCACAGAUUGCUGCAUCUACUUUGUUAUGUGUGGACUCUUCACCAUGGUCAACAAGAAAUUUCCUAACUGAGAUAUUUUUCAUACCUUUUAAGUGAUAUAUUUUCUCAGCUUAUUCUUUCAAGGCUAUAUUGUUAAAUUUCAAUCUGUUUCUGAAUAUUUUUAUUUUCUUUUUUAUAGAUGUCCAGUUUUAUUCCAG
rnacentral:lncRNA from 1 species